rnacentral:lncRNA from 1 species
UCCAUAUAUCUAACAUCCUUUGCUAGGUUUACCUAAAGGAGUGCCAUGUCGAAUUUCGAUUGGUGGAUUUCUGUUGUUCAGUAACGGUAAUUUCGUCUGAACAGUAGCAACAAAUGAUGGUUUUGACACACUCUGUUCACCUCUUUUAUUACCCGCAGAGUCUUGUGCUUUGUUGCCCACAGGUGGGCCUCUCCCAAGCUGCAUGUUGCUCUGUGAAGAAUUUUGGACUGGUGGGUUCUCAUUCAUUUGUGUAUUGGUAGUUUGAGGGGCUACCUGGUGCUGAUCAAUAUUGUUCUCCAAGGUUUUGUCAGUCCAUGGAGGAGGUCGAUCAAAGUUUGAAGAAAUCUUUGGUUGGGAUGGUAAGUUGUUUAAGGUGGAAGAUGUGGGGUUAUUUUUGGUCUUACUGGUUGUAUUGGUCCUGUUUCUUUUGUUGAGAUGGUGGUUGUAGGAUUGAGUUGUCGAAAUAUUAUGGAUUGGGUCAGGUGGGUGGGGUAGGUCAGUAGAUUGCAGUGUAGCUCAGAGAGAGAUUAUAGAGAAAAAGUU